rnacentral:misc_RNA from 1 species
AAACGUCUGAGCAUACGCACACAUUAAAAAAGGAGCGUCUGGAGCAACUCUUCUUUUUGUGCGGGGAAGGGCUUCCACAGAGAUACACACACACGCUGGCAAACGCACGCACGCACACACACACACACACACACACAGUGUCGGAUCGGCGCAAGAGCGUGUGCGCAUGUCUGUUCUUUUUCUUUUUUAGCCUUGCUGCGGAGGUGUUGCGAGUGUGUUGUGGCUCUCGGCGUAUCCUUGUUGACGUGGUAGCACCCCUCUUCAUUUUACUGGCGCAUAUCGGAAGGACAAAAGGAUCUUGACGCUUGGAACUGAGUCUCCUUGACGUUCCCUCCUGCCCACGUUGCAGCGCGUGCCGAAAGGUACUUGGCUCGAUUUUUAUCCGUGAAUGUUGACUCGCCCCGCAAAACUCGCAUGCUUCGUCAGUCGCUUCUUCGACUCCCGUGGUGGAACUUCCAGACGGAGCACCGUCAGCGGUGCGUGAUGAUGUACGGCGGCGCGCGCACCAAGAACACACACAACGCAAAUCACCGCGUCUACGUCCGCAAGUUCAAACGCAAUGCCUUUCCGAAUCGCACGCGACAUCAUUGGGCUGUCUCGAUGACUGGUGUGCAGGGACAGCGACCGCGUCGCAUGCCGUGGCCGUACGACUUGACGUCAAUGAUUUUCAACCAGCCCCGCCAGGGCUCUGACAAGAUCGGCUACGUGGUCGGCACCAGCAUGCUCAAGACGGCUGUGGUGGCAGCGAAUCACAUGGUCUACUACCCGAAGUUCAACCAGCGCGUGUCGCGCACGAGUCGCUUCUUUGCUCACGAUGAGGAUCUCGCUUGCGUCGAGGGUGACCUGGUACACAUCAAGCAGUCUCGAAAGAUCUCCAAGUACAAGCACUACUAUGUCUUCAGCAUCCUAGAGCCGAACAUUGAAGGACGAGAGCGGCUGAAGCUCGGGCUCAAGGCAGUGCCGCCGCCGCUGUUCGGUUACCCAGUGUCGCGCCGUGUUGUGAAGCUGAACCUGACUAACACAGAGGGCACCAAGGAGAAGCUGGCAGCGGCGAUUCAGGAGCACGUGCAGGAUGCCUAUAGGUUUGCUGGGCCGACACCAGAUCAACCGCGCGCCAAGCUGACGGACUCUGCUUCCUUCGAUGAGGCGAACAAGAUGAUUGCCCCGAACGCGUCUGUGACAGCGGAGCUGCCGCCCGGUGAGGAGCCCACGUUUCUUGGAGGCGGGCAACCAGUGGCCGAGGAGUUCAGCGAAGUGGAGGAGGACAGCCGCCAUAAGAAGGGUGACGACUACUGGAUGAACCUGCAGCCGUCUGACAAGUACGACUUCAAAAACUUGAAGAAGUCGCCUUAGGCGGCGUCGCGAAUAUACUGUGCACGGUGCCCCGCCUCCUCCGGUUUGGUGUCCGGGUCUUUGUGAAUGCGUUGUUGGUGGUUUCUACAUGUGAGGGGGUCGGUAAGCGGGUAAGUGGAGCUGUAGAACAAUCUGAGAAUAGCCCCGGCCCACCUCUCUCUCGCGCUUGUGUCUUUGUUUCGUGGUGCUCACAGUAACUACAUAAGCGUAUGGGGAUUCCUCCCGACUAUAUAUAUAUAUAUGUUUGCGCUGCCGACAUUGUGCUACCUGCACGACCUUGUGUCUGUGUACCUCUGCAUGUGUGCAGGGUCGUUGGCGGCAUCGCGUUUCUACCUUCUAUCUCAGCAGAGCGAAAAAAAAAAACGAGAAAGAAUAGACAUACAAGAGGGUGCUGGCGGUGCUAGUGGGAGGCGGGGGGAGGCAGCCCUGUUCCUGUUUCUCUUGCUAGUCAGUCAACAAAGCAGCAGCAAGGCACCGGUUUCGAAUCAGCUUCUUCACCAUGUUUGAUAAAAGCUUACCACGGCAGGGUUGUCGACGGGCACAACUGCUUCUCUGCCUGCCCUUGGUGAGUGCGCAUUACGCGUGAAUCGCACGCCUUGCGCUGGGUUCAUCUUUCAACCACGCCGCU